rnacentral:rRNA from 1 species
CCUACGGGUGGCAGCAGUCGAGAAUCAUUCACAAUGGGGGCAACCCUGAUGGUGCGAUGCCGCGUGGGUGAAUGAAGGUCUUCGGAUUGUAAACCCCUGGCAUGUGGGAGCAAAUUAAAAAGAUAGUACCACAAGAGGAAGAGACUGCUAACUCUGUGCCAGCAGCCUCGGUAAUACAGAGGGCUCAAGCGGUGUUCGGAAUCACUGGGCGUAAAGCGUGCGUAGGCUGUUUCGCAAGUCGUGUGUGAAAGGCGCGGGCUCAACCCGCGAACUGCAUAUGAUACUGCGAGACUAGAGUAAUGGAGGGGGGACCAGAAUUCCAGGUGUAGCAGUGAAAUGCGUAGAUAUCGAGAGGAACACUCGUGGCGAAGGCGGGUUCCUGGACAUUAACUGACGCUGAGGCACGAAGGCCAGGGGAGCGAAAGGGAUUAGAUACCCCAGUAGUC